UACGUAGGGACCAAGCGUUGUUCGGAUUUACUGGGCGUAAAGGGCGCGUAGGCGGCAUGACAAGUCACUUGUGAAAUCUCUGGGCUUAACCCGGAAACUGCCGUUGAUACUAUCUGUCUUGAAUGUAGUGGAGGUGAGCGGAAUAUGUCAUGUAGCGGUGAAAUGCUUAGAUAUGACAUAGAACAUCGAUUGCGAAGGCAGCUCGCUACACUAUUAUUGACACUGAGGCACGAAAGCGUGGGGAUCAAACAGG
rnacentral:rRNA from 1 species